rnacentral:lncRNA from 1 species
UUCACAACCUGUCUGCCUGUGUCCUCGACACGGUGGUCCGCGUCAAGGAUUCCAGAUCGCAGUGAAACCUGGUUGCAGGAACCACUACCAGCACUUGAAUCAAGGCAAUUAAAUAUUACAUGAAAAAUAAAGUCUCAUACAUAAAUCAGAAAAGUUUAACUAUAUGUCUAGAUAGAUUUUUUUAAGAUUAGAUAUAUUGCAAUUCGUAUCAAAGUCGGCUGAAUUAAAAAAAUCCUUAACAAUCACAUUCUUCUCUAUGCACAGCGGCUUCAGACAGUAUGCUUCGUAAUUGAGGAUUCUGCACAUUGAUAAGUACGAGGUAGAAGACGCAGAUACCAGGUUCGAAGGUAUUAAUUCUAAUCAACUUAUUCGUUGGAGGGAAUCUCUUAAAUUCAAAUAUGUCAUUCAUAAGAGCCAAGCUGCGAAAGGGCCAUUGUAUGCAACAAUAAUGUCAAAAACGUUCGCAAUUGAAAGGAUUAAACCAUUUGAAAAU